rnacentral:rRNA from 1 species
GUGGGGAAUCUUCGUCAAUGGGCGAAAGCCUGAACGAGCGACACCGCGUGAGGGAUGAAGCCCUUCGGGGUGUAAACCUCUUUUCUGGGGGAAGAAUAAGAGCAGGAGUGGAAUGCCUGCUUGAUGACGGUACCCCAGGAAUAAGAGACGGCUAACUCUGUGCCAGCAGCCGCGGUAAGACAGAGGUCUCGAGCGUUAUCCGGAUUCACUGGGCGUGAAGGGCGUCUAGGCGGUCUUGUAAGUCACCUGUGAAAGCUCCUGGCUCAACUGGGAGAGGUCGGGUGAAACUGCAAGACUAGAGCUUCGGAGGGGAGGGUGGAACUUCCAGAGUAACGGUGAAAUGUGCAGAUACUGGAAGGUACCUCGAUAGCGAAGGCAGCCCUCUGGCCGACAGCUGACGCUAAAGCGCGAAAGCGUGGGGAGCAAACCGGAUUAGAAACCCGGGUAGUCC